rnacentral:rRNA from 1 species
GUUAUAAGACGAGUCGGGAAAGUUUUUUCGCUAAGAGAUCAGUCUAUGUCCUAUCAGCUAGUUGGUGAGGUAAUGGCUCACCAAGGCUAUGACGGGUAUCUGGUUUGAGAGGAUGAUCAGACACACUGGGACUGAGACACGGUCCAGACUCUUACGGGAGGCAGCAGUGAGGAAUAUUGCACAAUGGAGGAAACUCUGAUGCAGCAACGCCGCGUGGAGGAUGACGCAUUUCGGUGUGUAAACUCCUUUUAAGAGGGAAGAUAAUGACGGUACCUCUUGAAUAAGCACCGGCUAACUCCGUGCCAGCAGCCGCGGUAAUACGGAGGGUGCAAGCGUUACUCGGAAUCACUGGGCGUAAAGGGUGCGUAGGCUGGCUUCUAAGUCAGAUGUGGAAUCCAAUGGCUUAACCAUUGAACUGCAUUUGAAACUGGGAGCCUAGAGUUCAGAAGGGGCAGAUGGAAUUAGUGGUGUAGGGGUAAAAUCCGUAGAUAUCACUAGGAAUAUCAAAAGCGA